rnacentral:misc_RNA from 1 species
GCUUCAGACAUUAAGGAAGGAAGCCGCUGAGAGAAGCCCUGAGGAGAAGAAUUUUAUGUGAGCAUAACACCGAAGUGGGAAGUGUUGUCUGAAACUCCCCUGGAUUCUUAAUUGAGACUAUACAAAUCUUUUUUCUAGCUUAGAAAACAUUGAAUGGCCCAUAAUUCACAUUGCCACAAAGUGAGAGAGAAUCUGGAUUAUAUAGUUUAUCGCAUAUUGUGGCAUUAUAUUAACUGUCAUUUUUUCUGUGGUUGGAAAAAUAAUUUGAUUUACCCUGGAGGAAGAUCAUGAACUUCGAUUUAUCUGUUUGUACAAUUGCAAGGAGAUAUUAGUUUGUCAUUUCAUUUUAUAAAUUUCAUUUGCCAUGGUUCCAUUUGUUGAAUAGAAUCACACAACUGAGUUCAUGUUUCUGUUUUGGUCAAUUAAUGCUUGGGCAGGGUGUUCUAUAACUUUGCAAGAACAGGAAGAUCAUUGAAACAUGCACUCUUUUGUUUUUAUUUUUCCAUUCUCG